UACAGAGGGUGCAAGCGUUGUUCGGAAUUACUGGGCGUAAAGCGCGUGUAGGCGGUGAAAUAAGUCGGAUGUGAAAGCCCUUGGCUUAACCAAGGAAGUGCAUCCGAUACUGUUUUGCUUGAGUGUCGGAGGGGAUGGCGGAAUUCCCGGUGUAGAGGUGAAAUUCGUAGAUAUCGGGAGGAACACCUGUGGCGAAGGCGGCCAUCUGGACGAUUACUGACGCUGAGACGCGAAAGCGUGGGUAGCAAAC
rnacentral:rRNA from 1 species